AGUACAUCACAUCAUCAGGGAUAGUGCAAUACUGCAAAAAUAUACUAGAGUCGGACUUUUAUCCUGGAAUCUUAGACGCUGGCGAAAUCGCGAGCGAAACGUAUCAUACACAUACAGGGCGAAUAACUUUUUUAUCGGAGCCAUGGCAGAGUGACCUCACUGCACCUGAUGACGGAAUACCUUCUUCAGAUCGAGUCAAAUUUUGCGUUGCAAUUCAAUUUUAAGCAAAUGUUUUUAUUAAAUUUCCUUAUUUGAUAUCGAUACAAGUGUUUGACGAAUUGCAAAUAAUGCAUCGGUAUAAAAGACGCGGCAACAGUCGAGGGAUCAUUCAAGUCGUCGACGAGAAAACAACCAACAUGAACCGUCUAGUGCU